GUGGGUUGAAAACACAGUUAUUAUUUCGUAGUGCAUUUCUUUUAGACAAAAAGCGCAAAUUAAAAAAAUCAUACGUGCUCUAUCCUAAAAAGAUUUUUUUACAGUGUAGUCUACUACUUUAUGGACAAAUUAAUUAACAUUGUCGAACAGUCUAUCGGCUCUAACUCAAAAUAUGAACAAUUCUUUGUUAAGGGGGUUUGUAAUUCAGUUUGACAGCUUCAGGCAUACCUAUUUCUGACCUUUUCAAACUGGACCAAAACACUUUUUUACGUAUACUGUAUCCUCCAAUUUUGUUAGACAAGUAAGUUCACUCCCUACUUACUAUUUUUUUUAUACAUAAAAUAUAAAUGAAUAAAUUUGGAAGGUAUGUGAAAAACAAUUUGCAC
rnacentral:lncRNA from 1 species